UACAGAGGUCUCAAGCGUUGUUCGGAUUCAUUGGGCGUAAAGGGUGCGUAGGCGGCGCGGUAAGUCGGGUGUGAAAUCUCGGAGCUUAACUCCGAAACUGCAUUCGAUACUGCCGUGCUUGAGGACUGGAGAGGAGACUGGAAUUUACGGUGUAGCGGUGAAAUGCGUAGAUAAUCGGGGAGGAACACCUGUGGCGAAAGCGGCUCGUCUGGACCACAACUGACGCUGAGGCGCGAAAGCUAGGGGAGCAAACAGG
rnacentral:rRNA from 1 species